rnacentral:rRNA from 1 species
CCUACGGGAGGCAGCAGUGGGGAAUAUUGCACAAUGGGCGCAAGCCUGAUGCAGCCAUGCCGCGUGUGUGAAGAAGGCCUUCGGGUUGUAAAGCACUUUCAGCGGGGAGGAAGGCGUUAAGGUUAAUAACCUUGGCGAUUGACGUUACCCGCAGAAGAAGCACCGGCUAACUCCGUGCCAGCAGCCGCGGUAAUACGGAGGGUGCAAGCGUUAAUCGGAAUUACUGGGCGUAAAGCGCACGCAGGCGGUCUGUCAAGUCGGAUGUGAAAUCCCCGGGCUCAACCUGGGAACUGCAUUCGAAGCUGGCAGGCUAGAGUCUUGUAGAGGGGGGUAGAAUUCCAGGUGUAGCGGUGAAAUGCGUAGAGAUCUGGAGGAAUACCGGUGGCGAAGGCGGCCCCCUGGACAAAGACUGACGCGCAGGUGCGAAAGCGUGGGGAGCAAACAGGAUUAGAUACCCCGGUAGUC